rnacentral:misc_RNA from 1 species
GUAUAAAAAACUACAGACUCUGUCAAACAAGCAAGCGUAAAUGUUAGAGGCAAAGCCCCUCGCAGUCAUUAUUGAUCCUUCCGCAGGUUCACCUACGGAAA